UACGGGGGGGGCAAGCGUUGUUCGGAAUUACUGGGCGUAAAGGGCUCGUAGGCGGCCAACUAAGUCGGACGUGAAAUCCCUCGGCUUAACCGGGGAACUGCGUCUGAUACUGGAUGGCUUGAAUCCGGGAGAGGGAUGCGGAAUUCCAGGUGUAGCGGUGAAAUGCGUAGAUAUCAGGAAGAACACCUAUGGCGAAGGCAGCUCUCUGGGACGGUACUGACGCUGAGACGCGAAAGCGUGGGGAGCGAACAGG
rnacentral:rRNA from 1 species